GCCAGGCUGGCGCUGAUUGGUAGGAUCGCAGCGGGUUCGUUGUUGCUAGGCUCUGGCGGGGGUGGCUAGGCGCCGUUGUUGCUAAGUUACUGAGUGCGCGUGCGCCACAGAGGCGCGCCUGCCUGAAAGAAGGUAUUUCCGGCCGGAGGUGGAGGCGGGGGUCUUUCGCUCCCGCCUUCAAAACCCAGGUUCCGUACGUUCCGCCUUUUUGCGCGGUAGGCCGGCAGGAAGCGGGUUAUGUGGCGAGUUUCCCGGGCAGGCCGCCACGGCUCGAGUUUGGAAGUGCCUAGAUCGGGGCGGCGCGGUACCUGGUGGCUACUGUGAAGCACAGUCCCCCAUCCCGUCUUAAAGAAGGUGUUGCUCAGUUAAUACCAAUUUGCUGGUGACAGCAGGUACCUUUCGAAAGAAGCCUGGGACUCUAAACGCAGCUUCAGAGAGUAUACUCAUACUUUAGGAAUUACCAGCUUCAGUGGACAUCUUUCCAGAGCAGUGGUUCAGGAGGCUGACUGACCACAAUGGAUGCCCAGUCAAUCAGGAGGGAAGACAGAGGCUUCAAAGGCAUGUACUUGGGGUCCUAGGGCCUCCUGCUCCCUAGUGGCUGUUGAGGAUUCUGCACACUCUGGAGCUAAAACAGAACUGUCUGGAGAUAGCCUUACCAGGUUUGGCAGGUGUUUAUCUAUUGACACCCAGACAGGAGUGAUAAAGAUACACACAUCCUGGCAAAAUUCCUGAAUUCCAUGGGUAAAGAGAGAAGUAUACAAGUUUUUCGCAUUGAAGGAAGAGGCUGUUUUUUAAAGGAAAGCAAAUAAAACUAGCAUUAGAAUUCUAAUUUGCUAUACUGAAAAUUAGAAGACAAUGGAAUGACACAUCUACAACCUGAAGAGAAAAACUGCGAUUAAGAGUCAAAAAUUCUUUUCCCAGACAAAAUGUCAUUCAUUCUUUGUGCCCAAAGAAAGACAACUUUAGACACUUAAGUGCACCCUCACUGAGGAAAAUACUCAACGUUCUCUAAUCAAUUGAUAAUUAUAUUGGAAAAGAGAUCUCAAUAUUGGGUAGAUAAUGAGUACAGUACUUAUGAACAACUAAUUUUGUAAUAAAUACGGUUAUUUCUAAAUGAA